rnacentral:rRNA from 1 species
AGUGAACGCUGGCGGUAGGCCUAACACAUGCAAGUCGAACGGCAGCACAGUAAGAGCUUGCUCUUACGGGUGGCGAGUGGCGGACGGGUGAGGAAUACAUCGGAAUCUACUUUUUCGUGGGGGAUAACGUAGGGAAACUUACGCUAAUACCGCAUACGACCUACGGGUGAAAGCAGGGGAUCUUCGGACCUUGCGCGAUUGAAUGAGCCGAUGUCGGAUUAGCUAGUUGGCGGGGUAAAGGCCCACCAAGGCGACGAUCCGUAGCUGGUCUGAGAGGAUGAUCAGCCACACUGGAACUGAGACACGGUCCAGACUCCUACGGGAGGCAGCAGUGGGGAAUAUUGGACAGUGGGCGCAAGCCUGAUCCAGCCAUACCGCGUGGGUGAAGAAGGCCUUCGGGUUGUAAAGCCCUUUUGUUGGGAAAGAAAAGCAGCAGGUUAAUACCCCGCUGUUCUGACGGUACCCAAAGAAUAAGCACCGGCUAACUGCGU